AGUUGCACCUUUUUUAGUCUUCUCCGUGCAGACCAUUCUGCGCUCAUGACAUGAACUGGAAGCUCCAUCUGUGGAUCGAUUUCAGUGGUACCAACCUCAUCAACAUCAAUAGUGGUUGAACCAGGGAGUUCUAGUUCCUUCACUUCAGGUUUAGAAGGGGCUUCAUCAGGCAAAGAAUCAGACAUGAGUAUAAGUUUUGGAGGUGGAUUGCGGAGAAGUUCAAUGACCAAAGCCCUAUCUAAGCCUAGCUCCCCUGCAAGAUUCUUU
rnacentral:lncRNA from 1 species